rnacentral:ncRNA from 1 species
CAAAGAUUUGGUCCUAACCUUACUGUUAUUUUUUGCUAAACUUACACAUGCAAGUAUCAGCACACCAGUGAAAACGCCCUAACAAUCUAAUAAGACUGAAGGAGCCGGUAUCAGGCACACCAUGAUAGCCCAAAACACCUAGCUUUAGCCACACCCCCAAGGGUACUCAGCAGUGAUAAAAAUUAAGCAAUAAGCGAAAGCUUGACUUAGUCAUAGCAAACAUGAGCUGGUAAAUCUCGUGCCAGCCACCGCGGUUACACAAGAGGCCCAAAUUAACAGACAAACGGCGUAAAAUGUGAUUAAAACUUUUUAACCCAUAAAAUUAAGGUGAACUACUUACUUAGCUGUCAUACGCAAAAGUAUAUAUUAACACAUUAUGAAAAUAACCUUAAUAUUAACGGAACUAUUUGAACCCACGAUCGCUAAGACACAAACUGGGAUUAGAUACCCCACUAUGCUUAGCCCUAAACCUAGAUAUUUACAUACAAAAAUAUCCGCCAGAGAAUUACGAGCAAAAACGCUUGAAACUCUAAGGACUUGGCGGUACCUCAAACCCACCUAGAGGAGCCUGUUCUAUAAUCGACAAUCCACGAUACACCUCACCAUCUCUUGCCAAUCAGCCUAUAUACCGCCGUCGCCAGCUUACCCUAUGAAGGAUACAAAAGUAAGCAAAACAAUAUAAACCAUUAACAAGUCAGGUCAAGGUGUAGCUAAUUGAGAUGGAAGAAAUGGGCUACAUUUUCUAUACUAGAAAUAACACUCACGGAAAGGAACCAUGAAACAGUCCAGCAAGUAGGAUUUAGCAGUAAACUGGGAGCAGAGAGCCCAAUUUAAACCGGUCCUGAGGUGCGCACACACCGCCCGUCACCCUCAUCAAUACUAAACCAAUAAACCAUAAAUAAGCCAUAACAAAUAAAACAGAUGAGGCAAGUCGUAACAAGGUAAGUGCACCGGAAGGUGUACUUGGAAUAUC